UCAGGAGCAAUUUGGUCUUAAUCCGGCCCUGACUACAACACUUUGCCCGCUCACCAAAUAACUGUGUUGGAGGCUAUAAAGGGACUCACAAAGGUACCCAACAUCACCUGAAUAAUGGGCUGAUCACUGAGAAGAAAAGAACAGAACCAAAGGGAUUUGGAUAAUAACGAUUUCAUCAGCCCUCUAAAACAGAACCAAAAAAAACAGACACCUUGAAAUCUCCAUGGCGGCUGGAGGAUGUGGAUAAGUGUGUGAUAGUUCACACUCUCCCAGUGUGCACUAAUAACAUUGCAAAGUGAUCUGAGAGUGCUGCGACUGAAGGAAAGAGGAUGGCACGCUAUUCUGAACCGCAGCACAGAAAUCAGGAAUAUCUUGAUGGGAUGCAGUGCAGUAGAAAUUCCUUUUGGAAAUCUAUCUGUAUACUGUGUGAAACCAAUAAUGAACUGACAAAACUGAUGUCAACAGUUACACAACGCUAAACGCCUCACCUGUAGCUUACACUAUGAGUAAGAGACCUCGUGCUAAACCCAAAUAUUAGGGUUGAGUGUUUCUCUCCCUUUUCCCAUGAUGCAGCCAGUGCUAACACCCUUUCCAUCAUUCUAGGCAUGUUUACAAGUGCUAAAGCCACAAGAUUGUCCAAAAGCUUAAAUCUUGUUUAAAGCAAAAUGCAUUCUUUUUUCUCGACAGGGUUGUUUUUUUUAUGUAUAAAUGUAAACUUUUCUAGAUAGACCUAUCAUGAACAGUAAGAUCAAGCUGUAAUAAUUCAUCAGUAGAAAACAAAUGUGAUUAAAGCAUUGUUUAAUAUCCAACAAUUGUACAAAAAAAAAACAAACCUCAGCAGCCCCAACCACUCCUAUGAAGUGUUGUCAAUUAUAAUCGGUCUAGCUAAACACUCUCAAAAAAUAUAACCUAUAUUUAU
ensembl:lncRNA